AGGAGAGGUGCACUGGCAGACACAUGACACACACGCAGAUCAGAUCCAUAUUUCUGUGUUGCAGGGCUUAAGUUAAGGUUUUAAAACAAUUUGAUGUAUUUGAUUUACUAUAUUAUUGUAAUAUUAUUGAAGCUGCGGUCACAGCUCCUUUCAGCAUGGCCGGAGGAGAGGUGCACUGGCAGACACAUGACACACAUGCAGAUCAGAUCCAUAUUUCUGUGUUGCAGAUGUGCAGUAAAGAGCCAAAGACCCAGUACUGUCUCCUGCCUCUUACUUUACGCCAGAACACAACGCAGCAACAAUAGGCGUAACACCUGAACGGGUUACAUAAGGUUAUAUUUAUCCUUUGUUUUAGGGUAUGAUUGCUGCCUUCACCUCUCCGUGGCACAUCGCCCGACCUUAAUUGGAGAAUUGAGGCGCCUGCAUAGUCGCUGUUUGAGGGCUCCUCCUCGGUGGAGCUGCCGUCUUGUCCCGUCUUGUUUCCCGUUUCGUUUAUUGCCGGGUGAACUGUUUCAUUAUUUUGCUCCUGCUGUUUUUUGCCUUGCCUCGUUGGGGCUGUGGUUUUUAUUUUUGUUUAGGUGGGCUUACCUUUCUUGGUUUGCCUGGUUUUAUUUAGCCCAUUCUGGACUAUUGUCCGCACCCCUGCUUCUGUGGCUGGCUAGAGUGAUCUUCAAAUAUUGCCUCCGCUGGCUUCUUCCAGUUUGCGUGGAGCUACACCGGACUGAUCCAGGCUUGGACUGUUACAGCCACCAGAAGCAGUGGUUUGACUCGCGGGGUGCCAAUCUCUAGUUUGCGCUGUGUGUGUGUGCGUGUGUGAUUUCUUUUCUUAAAGCUAUUAAAGAUUGAAGUUUUAGUUUUUCAUGAUAUGUAGCGAGCUUGUCGCUCAGUGUACUUUUAUUCUUUUAACGUGUUGUUCUGUUUUAUGUCAGUGAAUGGAGGACGUGCCAGUGGCCCUGGGACCUCAGGUGGUGGGUCAUUUUCACACUUUGUACAGCACUGGGUGCCGGCUGUAGUGUUUUUCUUUUUGUGAGAUUUUCUUUUGGGUCCACGGCUGCAGGUUCCAUGUUUGUUUUAUUGUACCUUUAGGACACGGUCAACCACGACGCUACAUUCAGUGUUUUCUUAAUGUUUCAUUUUAUUAUCAGCAUAAAUAAAACUGUUAAUAUUGGAGCCAACCUGCCUCGGUGUGCAUCCUUGAAUCUGUGCGGCCUCUUUUAUUCGCUUGUAUCGGUUUUUCUUAAAUAUCCAUUUCCUGGGGGUGAAAUUCCCCUAGGUGGCGUUGUCGUUUUUAUUAGUUUUUAUCUAACCCCUCCGACCACUUGGUCACACAGGCUCAGGGAGGGCGGGGCAAGAUGGCGAAGGAAGGAAGACAGGAUAAAGACAUGCUGUGGAAGAGAGACAGAGGCUGUGUCCGAAUUCAGGGGAAGGAUGCUUAAAAUGCCAUAUUUGGAUGCAAUGACGUCACAGCGACGCGACGAAGGGUGUCCGAAUUCAAAGAGUACUCAAAAUGUGGCAACAAAUGCGUCCUACUUUUCCGCGAAUUUGAGGCUUAGCUGUGUCCGAAUUCAGAGGAAGGAUGCUUCAAUGCCAUAUUUGGAGGCAAUGACGUCACGGCGACGCGACGAAGGGUGUCCGAAUUCAAAGAGUACUCAAAAUGUGGCGACAAAUGCGUCCUACUUUUCCCCAAAUUUUAAGGAUGGUCCGAUGUAUCCUUCGUGUCCUACUAUAUCCCAGGAUUCAUUGCGGGUCAUAGAGGAGAUUUGUUUCUGAUAACGAUGGUGGUCGAAGCGGGAGAGGAAAACACUUUCAAAUGUAAGUAUAUGAAAAUCUGGUUGUACAAAAGUUAAAUUGUUAUAGCGGUCGUUUUGUUAAGCUUUGGGCAUCUGCAUAGACAUGUUUCUUUUAUUUAAAAUAACCGUAAACCAGCUUGUAUCGCGGGUCCCGCGGUUUUUCAUGUAUUGCCGCUUACAUACAGCUAAUUUAGAUUUUUUCAAAUUGGUGAUAUGUUGUGGGGAACAAAGACCAAACGGCUUAAUUUAUUAAAACGAGGAGGAAACGAUCACCUCUUCACUGGGUGAAGAAUUGGGCCGCUACGGCGUGGAAGUGCAAGAAUAAAUCAAUUUACACAUCAUAUUCAUAUGAGUACGGUCCUAUUAACCCUCAUGCUGUACAGCAGCGGUCCCCAACCUUUUUGCGCCGCAGACCGGUUUAUGUCAGACACGGAGCGGCCUUUAAGGUAUCGUGGAUAAAUACAACCACAUAAAAUGAUCCGACCAAGACAAAAACUGUGGUAUUUUGUAAAUAUAAUAAUAAACGUGAAUGUGCUGUGUAAUUGUGUAACUUUAUUAGCAGCGUCCUCCUGAAAAUGUGCCAAAUUGAGAGUAACAUCCUCCUCUCUGCCGCUUAAUACUCUCUGGUCGCUAUGGUAACGUGUAAAUAUUUCUUUCAAAAUAACACACAAAACUACAACAAGGGAAAGACUCAGGGAAACCGAGUUAACGAUAAAACCCCUGAAAACCAUAAAUUUCACAGCGGAGCCUCAACUCUCGUGGCCCGGUACCAAACGACUCACGGACCGCUGCUGUACAGAACCUGUGAUGUCCAGACGGUGUUCCUCUGGUGUUCUGCUGUGAAAACUUUGGGAUUUAGGGAUUAACAUAGUUGCCAUGGUUUCCUUUCUUCUCUUAUUUGUUGUGUGUGAUCAGGACAAUUCUGGAGAAGAUGGGCCUGCAGGGGAAAGUCACCCCCUGCAGGCCAGAAGACAUGAGAUAACUUUAAAGAAUACAAAGAUUGCAAGUAUCCAGGCUCAGGAGAGGGGGUCAGUGGGAAGCCCACUGCUGCUACUUGGCCCUGGUUUGCCCUCAUGGAUGAGGUGAUAGGACAGAUGCCUUCCAUUAAGCCUCUUUUCCUAAUGUCCUCUCUCCCUGAGGACACUCCAGGGCCAAGCACAGCAGUGGGUGACCAAAACGACAGCGAUGACGAAGCGGCUCAGCCACCUACGACAGGGAGAAAGAGGGAAAGAGAUGAUGAGCUGCUAGACCUCAUCAGAGAGGACACGAGGCAGCAAAGAGAGGCUGAGGAGAGGAGAGCAGGGAGAGGACGGACAGACUGUUUUCAAUUCUAGAAAGAUUAGUUCCAAAAUGAGUUAUGUAUUGAGAAAUUUAUUUAUUUGAAUAUAUUUGUUACAUUGUUAUAUGUGUUGCAUUAGU